rnacentral:rRNA from 1 species
AGAGUUUGAUCCUGGCUCAGAACGAACGCUGGCGGCAGGCCUAACACAUGCAAGUCGAGCGCCCGCAAGGGAGCGGCAGACGGGUGAGUAACGCGUGGGAACGUGCCCUUUGGUUCGGAAUAUUCCCGGGAAACUGGGAGCAAAACCGGAUAAGCCCUUCGGGGGAAAGUUUACGCCAAAGGAUCGGCCCGCGUUAGAUUAGGUAGUUGGUGGGGUAACGGCCUACCAAGCCUACGAUCUAUAGCUGAUCUGAGAGGAUGAUCAGCCACACUGGGACUGAGACACGGCCCAGACUCCUACGGGAGGCAGCAGUGGGGAAUCUUGGACAAUGGGCGCAAGCCUGAUCCAGCCAUGCCGCGUGGAUGACUGAAGGCCCUAGGGUUGUAAAGUCCUUUCGACGGGGACGAUAAUGGCGGUACCCGUAGAAGAAGCCCCGGCUAACUUCGUGCCAGCAGCCGCGGUAAUACGAAGGGGGCUAGCGUUGUUCGGAUUUACUGGGCGUAAAGGGCGCGUAGGCGGAUUUUUAAGUCGGGGGUGAAAUCCCGGAGCUCAACUCCGGAACUGCCUUCGAUACUGGAAGUCUGGAGCACGGUAGAGGUGAGUGGAAUUCCGAGUGUAGCGGUGAAAUGCGUAGA